rnacentral:lncRNA from 1 species
CUGUACUGUGAAUCUUUAUCUUUCCCCUUCUGCACACAAAUCAAAAACCAUCUUUGUUAUAUCGAUCUAACAAGAAGGAUGAAGUCUUAUCUAGGUUCUGUAUUAAUCAAUGAUGUUCUCUCCCCUCUUAAGUUAAGGAUCUAACCUUUCCUAAGGCAGGAAAGAAAUCCCUAUUCUAUUCGUGGGAUAUUAAGAUAAGAUUGCUUCUAUGUAUCAAAAAGAGGA